CAAUUGCAGCAGCUGUGGUACAGGACCCAGGGAUUUUCAGCUGAAGUCUAAAAGCAGUUGACAACUGUAUGAAUCUCAGAGCCAGGGUUCAGCUAUGACAAAUACAGCGGGCGACUCCGAGGGAUAGUAACACGCAGGCGCCUUUGAGCAAAGUUCAAGCAGCUCCUAAAUUAACCAGAGUGAAUCCCCAAAGAUGCAGUAUUUAUGCACUGAAGAAGGAAGGGAGGGCUCUCAUCUCACCACUCUCAUCAGCCAUCACAGCCCAGGAAGCAAGAGAGAGAAAAUAAGAGUUAUUUACCUCUUGCUAAUUGGGAGCUGGGCAGCUCAGCGUGCUCCCUAAAUGGGAGAGCCCAUCCUGCCACAGCCAUUCCCACUGCUGGGACACACGGAUCCACUGCCAGGAAUUGACUUUAAGUGCAGGGCCGCAAACUGGUGUUUCAUUCAUCACUGGAUCGUAUAGAAAGCCUGAGCUGAAUAAAACCUUCUGAAAGAAGAUGAGGAGACACGCUCUGCCUUGUAGAUUAUUUCACAGCUACUGAAGCCAUUUGUUUCCUCUGCCUGUUUCCCACAAACUUGGAAAAUUAACCAUGUACCAGGAGGUGUGACUUUUACUUUUUGCCAAAUGGCAUGGAAAUAAAUU